AAUUUAUGCUGCGAAAGAAAAGCCUAGAAAAACAUUAAAAAAAUGCAUUGAUUCUAUGAAAAUCAAGUUUUCAAAGAAUAGUGCUAUCCACAUGUUAAAUUGAUUGACAGCAGUUCUCUUAUUAAAAAACUAAACGAGCAUUAUAGCAUAUUUAAAAAUAUAAACGCAAUAAAUGGAAGCUUUGAGAUUGUUAAAGAUCUUAUUUACAAUCAAAGUUUAUCUUUCUUAGAAAUCCUAGAAAUUGAGUGUAGGUAGCAUCUGGCACAUAUAUUUCCAUUCCUAUCACACACUCCAAAAAUGGGUCAAAAAG
rnacentral:misc_RNA from 1 species